UUCAAAAUAAAAUGUCAUAUCUACUUCGUCUUUUUGGCCAUGGCCUCCGCCGAGAUCGCGGAGAUCGAUUCCGAUGCUUCGUCGGUGCGCUCCUCUGGAUCACUGACAUGAGGCGCUGGAGAGAGCCUUUUCCUCCUCCGGUGAGAGAUCAUGAAGGACCGUGAGAUCGGUCGGUCCAGGUGUUUCGGAUUCGUUACCUUCAGCGACGACAAGGACAUGCGGAACGGGAUCCAAGGAUGCCAGAGCCUUCAUUUGAGGACAUUUGAUCUUUGUGGUUGUGCACUAGCUCAUGUUGGUGUGAUGGACUUGCUGUGGUUCCCACGAAUCUACCAUAGGUUUUUAAUGCUUUCUUUUGGGCCCGCUAAAUUGUUUGCAACAUGGUUUGAUGUAUAAACGUUGACUUAUCCCUACCUCUCCUCCCAUCUAUUUCUGGUAAUCGCUUCCUCACUAUGUCAGGUGACCAUGGGAACAACAUGGAAGCCAACCUCACCACUAUCUAUCAAGAUCACGAUGACUGAUUUGCACCAUUACACCAAUUGAAGUUAUUAGAGGCUGUCUUUUGCAGCAUUCACACUGCCUGACAACUAGUGGACAUUGACUGUUUUCUCACUGAAUCAGGAAAUAUAUUUUUUCUGAAAGCAAACUGACUACCAGUGCUGCAGCUUAUUGCAAUUGAUCUAUAGCCGAUGAAACUUUAGGACAAAGCAGCUGAGUCGGUGGAAUUUCAGUCACUUUUCUCUUUAUUUUUCAGGAAAAAUGUCUGUAAUGUUUCUCCUCCUCCGUCUGUCAUGGUUCCACCACGUUUCUGGUCCAAUAAGCCCAUAUUACCCAAAAAGUUAUAACGAGUCCAAGUACCCCACGAGGCCCAAUUCUUAGUGGUACAACGUUUAGGCUAAAAACAAGCUAAGACCCAAUUCCUUAACUGGUCCAUUUACAAUUACCUGGCCGAUAAUUUUGGAAAGUACAUCUGUUGGACCAAUGAUAGGCCCAAUAACUAAAAAAUUGGGCGAAUAAGUACACCCAAGGAAAUGAUAAUGGGCCCCAAAUGUUGACCUAAUUAACCUGAAAAUAGGACAACACGUCAGCCCAAUAAUAUAUAAAGGCCCUAUACUCAGCCUAAUUUUUGUCAAACAGGCCCGAAGGUUAGCCCAAUAACUUGAAAAUGGGUUCCCUUCUGGGCCCCGUAAUCUGAAUAUAGCCCCAAAGGUUGCCCAAAUAAAUGUGAAAACGGGCUCAAAGUAAGCCCGAGAUCAUGAAAACUAGCCCAAAAAGGUUAAAUAAAUGCCCAAUAAGGUUAAACAAAUGCCCAAAAACAACAAAAUUAGCUUAAUGACGUCUCAAAAAAGACAAAAUAGGCCCACUGAAGGAUGAGUAAACGACAAGGAGGCCCAUGAAUACCCAUAAAACGACAAAAUAGGCCCAUAAAA